GAGUUUGAUCGUGGCUCAGGACGAACGCUGGCGGCGUGCUUAACACAUGCAAGUGGAGCGACGAACCAGGGCUUGCCCUGGGGCAGAGCCGCGAACGGGGUGAGUAACACGUGGGUAACCUGCCUCGAUGAUUGGGACAACCCGGGGAAACCCGGGCUAAUACCGAAUGUGCUCACGAGCCUCAAGGCUCGUGUGGAAAGGAAGCUUCGGCCUCCGCAUCGAGAUGGGCCCGCGGCCCAUUAGCUUGUUGGUGAGGUAACGGCUCACCAAGGCUGCGAUGGGUAGCUGGUCUGAGAGGACGAUCAGCACACUGGGACUGAGACACGGCCCAGACUCCUACGGGAGGCAGCAGUGGGGAAUCUUGCGCAAUACGCGAAAGCGUGACGCAGCAACGCCGCGUGGGGGAAGACGGCCU
rnacentral:rRNA from 1 species